rfam:Necator americanus N_americanus-1.0_Cont1216.1, whole genome shotgun sequence.
CCAACGGCCCUCUUUAGGGCCACAGUUGAAACUCGAAUACAUCUUC